GAAAGAUUAGUUAACUAAUAACAUUACCUUGUCAAGAUAAAAUAAUGAGUUAAAACCUCAUAUCUAUCC
rnacentral:tRNA from 1 species